AGUGAACGCUGGCGGUAGGCCUAACACAUGCAAGUCGAACGGCAGCACAGUAAGAGCUUGCUCUUACGGGUGGCGAGUGGCGGACGGGUGAGGAGUACAUCGGAAUCUACUUUUUCGUGGGGGAUAACGUAGGGAAACUUACGCUAAUACCGCAUACGACCUACGGGUGAAAGCAGGGGAUCUUCGGACCUUGCGCGAUUGAAUGAGCCGAUGUCGGAUUAGCUAGUUGGCGGGGUAAAGGCCCACCAAGGCGACGAUCCGUAGCUGGUCUGAGAGGAUGAUCAGCCACACUGGAACUGAGACGCGGUCCAGACUCCUACGGGAGGCAGCAGUGGGGAAUAUUGGACAAUGGGCGCAAGCCUGAUCCAGCCAUACCGCGUGGGUGAAGAAGGCCUUCGGGUUGUAAAGCCCUUUUGUUGGGAAAGAAAAGCAGCAGGUUAAUACCCCGCUGUUCUGACGGUACCCAAAGAAUAAGCACCGGCUAACUUCGUG
rnacentral:rRNA from 1 species